UGGCGCGCAGCUAGAGAAAUAAUCAGUGUGGUUGGUGGUUUAGGACCAGCGGGAAAGAUGAAAAGUACGGUUUCUCCUCUGUUUGGUGAACUGUGUCGUGGCCGCGGUCCCUUCCGUUCACAGACCUGCAGAUGGAAGGAGUAGUGUUGGAAUGAGUUUUUGUGACGAAGCUUGUUUUUCAGUUUCAGCCCUAAACUAUGCCGAACGAUUUGUUUAAGAAGCCUUGGAAAAUAUGUUGCUCUCAGUGAGGCAUUUCGGAGGAAGUAAUUGCUACUGUUAUUUGAGCCAGUCUCUGACGCUGUGAGAGAGUCUAAAGAAAAUAAUAUGGAGCGAGUCAGCGCGUGUAACCGAAUAGCACUUUGUAGUCUGAAUACUCAGGAACAGAAGUUACUAUUUUGAUGUUACCUUACAGGUUAGGUAAGAUGCCCACAAUGUGACUGGUAAGAGUGGCCAUGUGAAGGUGGAGUAGAGACUUCUGCUACUACUCCUAGGAGAAUGGGGUUGGCCUAGUUGAAUUUGACGAGGUUGACUAUUAUGUGACCAAGGAGGACAUAAUAAAUCAUGGCAUUUAAAAGAACAUCCUGAGUUCAAAGCUUGAUGAAGCUGAACUCCUAAUUGAGAAGAUGGAGUCAUAAAAUGGUGCAUUCUUUGUCAGUGUAAAUCCUUGGAUGGCAAACAUGAGCAGAUCCCUUUCUUCCCCUCACUUGAGAGGAUGUGAUGUUGAUACAAUUCGUUCACUGUUUAACUGUAACAGAGCACAAUGAGAAGAAAGACUUCUUCUGGAAUGCAAAUGCAGCAGUAAUACUCACAAU